rnacentral:rRNA from 1 species
GGGUGAGUAACACGUGGGCAACCUGCCUGUAAGACUGGGAUAACCCCGGGAAACCGGGGCUAAUACCGGAUAAUACUUUCUUUUGCAUAAAGGAAAGUUGAAAGGCGGCUUCGGCUGUCACUUACAGAUGGGCCCGCGGCGCAUUAGCUAGUUGGUGAGGUAACGGCUCACCAAGGCGACGAUGCGUAGCCGACCUGAGAGGGUGAUCGGCCACACUGGGACUGAGACACGGCCCAGACUCCUACGGGAGGCAGCAGUAGGGAAUCUUCCGCAAUGGACGAAAGUCUGACGGAGCAACGCCGCGUGAGUGAUGAAGGUUUUCGGAUCGUAAAACUCUGUUGUUAGGGAAGAACAAGUUGGAUAGUAACUGACCCUACCUUGACGGUACCUAACCAGAAAGCCACGGCUAACUACGUGCCAGCAGCCGCGGUAAUACGUAGGUGGCAAGCGUUGUCCGGAAUUAUUGGGCGUAAAGCGCUCGCAGGCGGUCCUUUAAGUCUGAUGUGAAAUCUCGCGGCUCAACCGCGAACGGUCAUUGGAAACUGGAGGACUUGAGUACAGAAGAGGAGAGUGGAAUUCCACGUGUAGCGGUGAAAUGCGUAGAGAUGUG